rnacentral:rRNA from 1 species
GGAAUAUUGCGCAAUGGGCGAAAGCCUGACGCAGCGACGCCGCGUGGGGGAUGAAGGUCUUCGGAUUGUAAACCCCUUUCGGGAGGGAAGAUGGAGCGAGCAAUCGUUCGGACGGUACCUCCAGAAGCAGCCACGGCCAACUUCGUGCCAGCAGCCGCGGUAAUACGAAGGUGGCAAGCGUUGUUCGGAUUCACUGGGCGUACAGGGUUGGUAGGCGGUUGGGUAUGCCUUCUGUUAAAGCUUCGGGCCCAACCCGGAAAGCGCAGAGGGGACUGCCAGGCUAGAGGGUGGGAGAGGAGCGCGGAAUUCCCGGUGUAGCGGUGAAAUGCGUAGAGAUCGGGAGGAAGGCCGGUGGCGAAGGCGGCGCUCUGGAACAUACCUGACGCUGAGACACGAAAGCGUGGGGAGCAA